ACUCCUACGGGAGGCAGCAGUGGGGAAUCUUUCGCAAUGGACGACACUCUGACCGAGCAACGCCGCGUGAGUGAUGACGGCCUUCGGGUUGUAAAGCUCUGUUAAUCGGGACGAAUGGUUCUUUAGCUAAUAGUGCGAGGAUUUGACGGUACCUGUGAAUAAGCCACGGCUAACUACGUGCCAGCAGCCGCGGUAAUAC
rnacentral:rRNA from 1 species